rnacentral:rRNA from 1 species
AACGAACGCUGGCGGCAGGCUUAACACAUGCAAGUCGAACGCCCCGCCAGGGGAGUGGCAGACGGGUGAGUAACGCGUGGGAACAUACCCUUUUCUACGGAAUAGCUCUGGGAAACUGGAAUUAAUACCGUAUACGCCCUACGGGGGAAAGAUUUAUCGGGGAAGGAUUGGCCCGCGUUGGAUUAGCUAGUUGGUGGGGUAAAGGCCUACCAAGGCGACGAUCCAUAGCUGGUCUGAGAGGAUGAUCAGCCACAUUGGGACUGAGACACGGCCCAAACUCCUACGGGAGGCAGCAGUGGGGAAUAUUGGACAAAGGGCGAAAGCCUGAUCCAGCCAUGCCGCGUGUGUGAAGAAGGUCUUCGGAUUGUAAAGCACUUUAAGUUGGGAGGAAGGGCAGUAAGUUAAUACCUUGCUGUUUUGACGUUACCAACAGAAUAAGCACCGGCUAACUUCGUG